rnacentral:lncRNA from 1 species
CUAUCCCCAGAGGUAGAGUCUACAGAGUUAGGCAGGCCUCCUUGAGCUGCUGUGAGCUGCACCCAGUUCAAGCUUCCCAGUGGCUUUGUUUAUCUACUUAAGCCUCAGCAAUGGCGGGUGCCCCUUCCCCAGCCUGGCUGCUGCCUUGCAGUUAGAUCACAGACUGCUGUGCUAGCAAUGAGGGAGGCUCCGUGGGCGUGGGGCCCUCCUGGCCAGGUGUGGGAUAUAAUUUCCUCACGUGCCAUUUGCUAACACCCUUGGUAAAGCACAAUAUUGGGGUGGGAGUUACUCGAUUUUCCAGGUGUUGUGUGCCUCAAUUUCCUUCAGCUAAGAAAAGGAAUUCCCUUCCCCCUUGCAGUUCCCAGGUGAGGCAAUGCCUCACCCUGCUUCAGCUCUCACUGGUUGGGCUGCAGCAGCUGACCAGCACAGAUUAUCCGGCACUCCCUAGUGAGAUGAACGUGGUACCUCUGUUGAAAAUGCAGAAAUCAACCCUCUUCUGUAUCGCUGGCACUGGGAGUUGGAGACUGGAGCUGAUCCUAUUUGGCCAUCUUGCUCUGCCCCCUCUGAGUAGUUAACUUUUUUUAUGGAACCUGCAUAAUCUAGUAUCUGGGCCUUCAGCCAUGCUGAAUGCUCAAUCUGAAAUGAUUCAAAAUAGGAAAAGAAAUUAUUGUAAAACAAAUCACAGCCUGCUUCCAAAGGAAAAGUUUUUUGUUUUUGUUUUUUUAAUCCUGUUUGUACUCUUUUAGUUGAGAAGAUUUAUGCCAGUAAAUGACAGGGUCGUUAGUUUAAAAAUUACAAACAGAAGACAAACAAGUUAUAUUUCACAGAUUUCACCAUCUUUUUCAUUCAUAUCAAAAAAUUCUGGGGCAUGUGGGCAGAAUACACAGUGAUUGAUUGUAAUCCUCAAGAAUCAAAAGGUAAGAGUGGAUAAAACCGGAUACUCCAAAACUUUUACAUUUAGGUGUGUUUGUUUUCUUCUCCAUGUUAUUACUAUUAUGAAUAUAAUAUCAUAUUAUUACUAGAGAAUUUUUUCAAAUUACAAAGAAUACCUUUAUUGUAUUUGGGGGUAUAAUGUUGGAUGUUGAAAUCAAUCUGAUUUACACAGAUGUGACUUGGGUCAAGUUUACAUAUUAACGAAGUGUACUGGUAUGGAAGUGUAACUGGCAAGAAGCAAUACUCACUUCAUCUUGCAGUUGUUUUGCAGAGCUGGCCUGUGAUUUUCGAACUCCUCACACUCGGCUACCAUAGCAUUUCCUGCUUUCUGCAGUUCUUUCUGAAAUACCACAAUUUCACAAGCCAGCUAAACUAGACCUAAGAAGAUCAAAAGAUAUCCUAGUUAUUAUCAAGCUUAAGUUUUCUUAUUCUUUUAACAAAAACAUUUAAAGUGGUUUUACAUUGUUUCUUUUCUUGGUACUCAUGCAAUAA